UAGUUCGAUCAUGGCUCAGGACGAACGCUGGCGGCAUGCCUAACACAUGCAAGUCGAACGGAGUUGUUAUUCAGAAGUUCUUCGGGAUGGAAGGAUAAGAACUUAGUGGCGGACGGGUGAGUAACGCGUGGGUAACCUGCCCUUUUGUGGGGAACAACUUCGAGAAAUCGGAGCUAAUACCGCAUAAUAAUAGAGGAUCGCAUGAUUCUUUAAGGAAAGAUGGCCUCUGAAGAUGCUAUCGCAAAAGGAUGGACCCGCGUCUGAUUAGCUAGUUGGAAGGGUAACGGCCUACCAAGGCAACGAUCAGUAGCCGGCCUGAGAGGGUGAACGGCCACAUUGGGACUGAGACACGGCCCAAACUCCUACGGGAGGCAGCAGUGGGGAAUCUUCCGCAAUGGGCGAAAGCCUGACGGAGCAAUGCCGCGUGAGUGAAGAAGGCCUUCGGGUUGUAAAACUCUGUCCUUAUCGAAGAGAGGUAGGUAUGUGAAUAAUGUACCUAUAGGACGGUAGAUAAGGAGGAAGCCCCGGCUAACUACGUGCCAGCAGCCGCGGUAAUACGUAGGGGGCGAGCGUUGUCCGGAAUCACUGGGCGUAAAGGGCGCGUAGGCGGUUUAAUAAGUCAGUGGUGAAAACUGAGGGCUCAACCCUCAGCCUGCCACUGAUACUGUUAGACUUGAGUAUGGAAGAGGAGAAUGGAAUUCCUAGUGUAGCGGUGAAAUGCGUAGAUAUUAGGAGGAACACCAGUGGCGAAGGCGAUUCUCUGGGCCAAGACUGACGCUGAGGCGCGAAAGCGUGGGGAGCAAACAGGAUUGGAUACCCUGGUAGUCCACGCCGUAAACGAUGGAUACUAGGUGUUAGUAGUUUCGAUGCUACUAGUGCCGGAGUAAACACAAUAAGUAUCCCGCCUGGGGAGUACGGUCGCAAGACUGAAACUCAAAGGAAUUGACGGGGGCCCGCACAAGCGGUGGAGCAUGUGGUUUAAUUCGACGCAACGCGAAGAACCUUACCAAGACUUGACAUCCUCCUGACAAGAUAUGUAAUGUAUCUCUUUUCUUCGGAGACAGGAGAGACAGGUGGUGCAUGGUUGUCGUCAGCUCGUGUCGUGAGAUGUUGGGUUAAGUCCCGCAACGAGCGCAACCCUUAUUUCUAGUUGCCAGCAGUAAGAUGGGGACUCUAGAGAGACUGCCAGUGACAAACUGGAGGAAGGUGGGGAUGACGUCAAAUCAUCAUGCCCCUUAUGUCUUGGGCUACACACGUGCUACAAUGGUCAGAACAGAGGGAAGCGAAGCCGCGAGGUGGAGCAAAUCCCAGAAAACUGAUCUCAGUUCGGAUUGCAGGCUGCAACCCGCCUGCAUGAAGUCGGAAUCGCUAGUAAUCGCGGGUCAGCAUACCGCGGUGAAUACGUUCCCGGGCCUUGUACACACCGCCCGUCACACCACGAAAGUUAGUAACACCCGAAGCCGGUGGCCUAACCCGCAAGGGAGGGAGCUGUCGAAGGUGGGACUGAUGAUUGGGGUGAAGUCGUAACAAGGUAUCC
rnacentral:rRNA from 1 species